rnacentral:rRNA from 1 species
UUAUAUUUGAGAGUUUGAUCCUGGCUCAGGAUGAACGCUGGCGGCGUGCCUAACACAUGCAAGUCGAGCGAUCUCUUCGGAGAGAGCGGCGGACGGGUGAGUAACGCGUGGGUAACCUGCCCUGUACACACGGAUAACAUACCGAAAGGUAUACUAAUACGGGAUAACAUAUGAAAGUCGCAUGGCUUUUGUAUCAAAGCUCCGGCGGUACAGGAUGGACCCGCGUCUGAUUAGCUAGUUGGUAAGGUAAUGGCUUACCAAGGCAACG